GAGAGCUUAACUUAAUGGUAAAGUAUGUGACUUUUAAUCAUUAUAAUAUGAGUUCGAAUCUCAUAGCUCUUAUCA
rnacentral:tRNA from 1 species